CGGAAAUAGUCGGGGAGCCUACCCAAUAGGGAAAGGGCUGAGAUCGCGAAGCGAGACCCGUUGAACCUGAUUCAGUUAGCACUGACGUAGGGAACUAUGCACACUAAUUC
rnacentral:ncRNA from 2 species